GAACAGUUAACAUAUAUUUCAAAUUCUGUAACAGAAACCUGUGGUAAAAAUGGUGAAGACCCAGCAAGUUUCAUUGGCUAUUCUGUGGCUUCGGUUACACUAGGUAAGUGGUAAAAAUGGAGUGGAGCAGAGUCCCCGAUACCUGAGCGCCCAGGAGGGUACAAUCAACUGUAAUUACUCAGAAGGAAUGAUCACCUUACAGUUGUUGCAACAGAAUCCUGGAGGAGGCAUCAUCUCCUUGCUUAUUCUGAGCCUAGAGAUGAAGAGGAAAGGAAGAAUAAGUGCCACAAUAAACAGGAGGGAACGUUCAGCUCCCUGCACAUCACAGCCUCCCAGGCCACAGACUCUGCCAUCUACUUCUGUGCUGGAGGCAAUCAAUUAUACUUUGGAACAGGAACUAGACUCACCAUCACAGCCAAAAUCAAGGACCCCAACCCCACUGUGUACCAGCUGAGAAGCCCCAAGUCCAGUGACACUUCUGUCUGCCUGUUCACCGAUUUUGACUCUGAAGUCCAGCUGACACAAAUCACGGGGAGCAAGUGGAACAUGAUGCACAAGACAAAUAGCACUGCGCUCAACAUGGAGAUCCUGGGAUCCAAGAGCAACGGGAUAGUGACCUGGGGAAACACCAGCGAUGCUGGAUGCGAAGACACCUUCAGCAAGGACAUUCACGUAGCCCCCAGCGACGGAAUCACCUGUAAUGCCAAGCUGGUAGAGAAAAGCUUUGAAACAGAUAUGAACCUAAACUCCCAGAACCUGUCAGUGAUCGGGUUCCGCAUCCUCCUCCUGAAGGUGGUCGGGUUUAACCUGCUCAUGACGCUGCGGCUCUGGUCCAGUUGAGGUCACCGACAGCCUGAGAGCCCCAUGCUCCCUCGCCCCUUGCUCCUCGUCGCCCUUCCUCUCCCUCUCUAAGCAGAGGCGCACUCUCUGCCCCUGUGGAUGAGAAGGCUCCCUCCUCCUCUCUGGCCUGGCUGGCCAUACCACCAACUGAAUCCUCCAGAUACUGGCGAUCAAGAUGCUGACAAGCUGCCCAGCACAGCUGCCACCCACUCUGUUCCUCACUGCUGCUUGUCACUGCCUGGCAUUCUUGGCAAAGUUGGGGGGCUGCUGCAGCCUCUCCUGGCUGUAGGGACACUCCCUCCCCACCCCCACCCCCCAGAGGCUGCCGCUGAUGUCCCACUGGAUGGUGGAUCCCCAGUGGGUUCUCUUGGGAUCUAGCUCCCGGAGAAUGUUGUGUGGUGUUUAUAUUUUUUACAUAGUGUUUAUAAAAAAAUAUAUAUCACCCUUUUUCCCAAGAUGUGGGGAAAAAUUAUCUUUUCAUGAUCUAGGCCCUGCUCUGCUGUGUAUUUGAGCCACAUUGUAUAUUCUGCUGCCAAGGCUUCAAUAAAAGCGAUUUGGAAGAGA